rnacentral:rRNA from 1 species
UGAGGAAUAUUGGUCAAUGGGCGAGAGCCUGAACCAGCCAAGUCGCGUGAGGGAGUACUGCCCUAUGGGUUGUAAACCUCUUUUGUCGGGGAGCAAAAGCCGGACGUGUCCGGCUGUGAGAGUACCCGAAGAAAAAGCAUCGGCUAACUCCGUGCCAGCAGCCGCGGUAAUACGGAGGAUGCGAGCGUUAUCCGGAUUUAUUGGGUUUAAAGGGUGCGCAGGCGGAUUAUUAAGUCAGCGGUCAAAUCGUGGGGCUCAACCCCAUCCAGCCGUUGAAACUGGGGAUCUAGAGUGUGCGAGAGGUAUGCGGAAUGCGUGGUGUAGCGGUGAAAUGCAUAGAUAUCACGCAGAACCCCGAUUGCGAAGGCAGCAUACCGGUGCACAACUGACGCUCAGGCACGAAAGCGUGGGUAUCGAACAGG